CAGCUCAGCUGUAAAGCUGAGGUGGUGGUUUGGGCUGCUCUGUCCUGUAUGGAACAAAGGGCAAGAUCCCGGGGUGGAUCCGCUGCAGGCACAGCACGCUGGGGGGACGCACGCUGCCCGCACCCUGGGGACAGAUGGCACCAGGUCAGUGUGACCAUCACAGCACAGAAACAGGAGCCAAGAAAUCACUGUCCUGCUGGGAUAUUCAGGCUGCAGCUUCCGAGGGUACCGCGGGGCCCCUUGGAGCCCCGGUUCAGGUCCAAGGCCACGGGCACGCACAGGAGACAGUCUGGGCGGGCAGCAGGGGAGGCACCGAGCACGUGAGCAAGGCUGCCUUCAGGGAACUAAUUUAGGCAGAGAAUUUCUAGAUUAGCUAAAUUGAAUCAAAACAUUGCAAUACAGUUCAAUAAUUACUUUUACAGCAAAUGUGCUUUAAAAUGAACAAAUCAUUUUGACAGAGAACUGAGCAGCUGAUGAUAAACUCAUAUGAAAGUAUGAGCUUUGUAUAUAUGAAACUGUAUAAAAGCCUUUAAUAUAUUUUUACUAUGAUCAUUAAUAUAGCAUAUAUUCAAAAAACUUCUACUGAAGCUUUCAAUUAUCUUUUUUUUUUUCCCUUGUUUAAUAAAAUGUUGAUGGAGGAUGAGUAAUAAGUUGUCUUUAGGUAUCUCAACGGCAAUCAUUAUUUUCCACUUAAAAUUAAAUUACUUUUAAAUUUUGGUUAUAUAAAUUUUAAUAGCAACAAAUGGUAUGCCAUUAUCUUAAUAUAGUGCAAUUUAUCACCUAUGAAAAUCAAUAAAUCUAUUAAAGACAGGCAACAAACUAUUAGGUCUUUCCUGUUGUACAGAGGCCAAAGGAAAAUUG